GAUGAACGCUGGCGGCAUGCCUAAGACAUGCAAGUCGAACGGAGUAGCCUUUAGAAAGGGAAGUGCUUGCACAGAACUGGAAGAAGAAUUUCUACUUAGUGGCAGACGGGUGAGUAACACGUGGGUAAUCUACCCUAGGGACUGGGAUAACGUUUGGAAACGAACGCUAAUACCGGAUGAUACAUAAUUAGAUAACUAGAUAUGUUAAAAGGAGCGUUUGCUCCACCUUAGGAUGAGCUUGCGGUGUAUUAGCUAGUUGGUGGGGCAAUGGCCUACCAAGGCAACGAUGCAUAGCCGAGCUGAGAGGCUGAACGGCCACAUUGGAACUGAGAUACGGUCCAA
rnacentral:rRNA from 1 species